rfam:Salmo salar isolate Sally breed double haploid chromosome ssa23, whole genome shotgun sequence.
AAUGCACCAAUUUGUUAGUUGCUCUGGAUAAGAGCGUCUGCUAAAUGACUUAAA